AUUGAACGCUGGCGGCAUGCUUUACACAUGCAAGUCGAACGGUAACAGGCCGCAAGGUGCUGACGAGUGGCGAACGGGUGAGUAAUGCAUCGGAACGUGCCCAGUCGUGGGGGAUAACGCAGCGAAAGCUGCGCUAAUACCGCAUACGAUCUAUGGAUGAAAGCGGGGGACCGUAAGGCCUCGCGCGAUUGGAGCGGCCGAUGUCAGAUUAGGUAGUUGGUGGGGUAAAGGCUCACCAAGCCAACGAUCUGUAGCUGGUCUGAGAGGACGACCAGCCACACUGGGACUGAGACACGGCCCAGACUCCUACGGGAGGCAGAAGUGGGGAAUUUUGGACAAUGGGCGCAAGCCUGAUCCAGCAAUGCCGCGUGCAGGAAGAAGGCCUUCGGGUUGUAAACUGCUUUUGUACGGAACGAAACGGUCCUGGUUAAUACCCGGGGCUAAUGACGGUACCGUAAGAAUAAGCACCGGCUAACUACGUGCCAGCAGCCGCCGUAA
rnacentral:rRNA from 1 species